rnacentral:lncRNA from 1 species
AGAUAGAGUCUUAACUGUUUCAGGCAGUGACGUGAUCUUGGCUCACUGCAAGCUCCGCCUCCCGGGUUUACACCAUUUGCCUGUAGUCCCAGCUACUCAGGAGGCUGAAGUGGGAGGAUCACUUGAGCUUGGGAAGUGGAGGCUACAGUGAGCUGUGGUUGUGCCACUCUGCACUCCAGCCAGGAUGACAGCAAGACCCUGUCUCAAAAAAAAGAGAAAGAAAUAGAAGCAGGGAUAUACUUGAAGGGGUAUGUGUGUGUUCAUGUCGGUACAUUGGAUGCUUGGUGCUGCUCGGUAAUUUUGAAUGCCUCACAUGCAUUAUGCCAUUAAUUCUCAUACACCUGACAGAUGCAGGGUUCGUCCCUAAGGCUGAUUAGCUCAUUAUGAGUGAAGAGUUUAGAACCAGACUCCCUGAGUGCAAGUCUAACCUCUUCUUUGGCUCCUCAUUUGUAAAAUGGGGAUAAUAACAGCAUCUACCUCACAGACUAUUAAAUAAUCCAAUCUCUUCAAAGAUCGUAAACCAUGCC